GUGGGAAAAUUCUAGUUCCUUAGGCUAGAAAGUUCUCCACCAUUGGAUGGAGAACACUUGUACAAAUCCUAACCAUACAUUGUAAUCAUUGGUGCCUAUAAAUAGAGGUGGCCUCAUUUGGCUAAGGCACAAUCAAUCAACCAACCA